rnacentral:rRNA from 1 species
AUUGAACGCUGGCGGCAGGCCUAACACAUGCAAGUCGAGCGGAGCGGCGGUCGGGUGAGUAAUACCUAGGAAUCUGCCUGGUCGUGGGGGAUAACGUCCGGAAACGGGCGCUAAUACCGCAUACUAUCAGAUGAACCCAUAUGGGAUUAGCUAGUAGGUGGGGUAAAGGCUCACCAAGGCGACGAGCUCUAGCUGGUCUGAGAGGAUGAUCAGCCACACUGGGACUGAGACACGGCCCAGACUCCUACGGGAGGCAGCAGUGGGGAAUAUUGCACAAUGGGCGCAAGCCUGAUGCAGCCAUGCCGCGUGUAUGAAGAAGGCCUUAGGGUUGUAAAGUACUUUCAGCGAGGAGGCGUUACCCGCAGAAGAAGCACCGGCUAACUCCGUGCCAGCAGCCGCGGUAAUUC